GGGGUCGUAUAAAAUAUAUGUGAAUGUACGCAUCAGUCACGCGCACGCGCACCAGUACACAAGACGAGGCCAUUUGCUUGAUCCUUUAUCGUGUAAAAUGAAGACCAGCAGUUCACGUCGUGCUCUUUGCUCUAAAUCUUGACGCGCGGAGCGUGUGGCAGGAGCGCUCGCAAUGCCCGACGGGCACACUGGCAGAUCACUUGACGGAUGGCUUGAAGUUCCCUCACGAAGCCGGCGUUGGCAGUGGCGCCCCUCGCUAGCACUCCCAGGCACCGGCGCUCCACGGCUAAGCGUUUGAAGUGAGCGCACCCAGCGUCUUUCUUGACAGCCCACGCAUUCCAAAAGAGAGUUAUGGGGGACUGGGGACGAGACAGAACAGAAGAGAUCUGACAAACGAGGGGAGGCCAUUCAGUCCAGCGGGCUCGUUGGUUGAGCUAAUGGCUAACAUGUCCCAAUUUCUCCUCCAGACCCUUCUUAAUGGCGGUCCAGGCUUCAACUCCACGUCUCGUUGGUGUCCUCGUGUUUGCGGAAUUCACCGUCAACUUGAAAAAAUUCAUUGAUGCCUUUGAGGAAUUUGAAGAUCUGGAUGAGGACUCCACACAGUCGACCAAGGAGAUCUGAUUCUCUGAGACAGUCACAGUGCAACAUCUCACGUGCAAUGGAAAAACCAAGGAGGUGCCAUUAUUUCCAAAAUGGACUUUUGUGUAAUUUUUGGAGUUACUACUGUAGGUCUUUCCUAAUGUUAUAAGGUGGUGGUGAUGGUUUGUACUGUCAGAGACGAGACAACGAGCCACAAAGAGAUUUGGGGCAGCCACCCGUGUUUUUAUUCCUGGCUGCAAAAUAGUUGAAUUGUGUACAGUUAUGUAGAGGUUGGAGUCCAAAACAGAACUGUCUUGAUGAGACAAAGAUGGAGAGGAGAGGAAGUGACGUCAUCAGGGCCGGAAGAGGAAGUGAUGUCAUUAUGGCCUGAACCAGAAGUG